GAGAACGCGGCUGAUGUGGGCUCCGCUCGAGCCGCGUCGACGGCCUCGGCGCCUCCCGGGCCUCCCGGGCCUCGCUCCCGCCUCCAGCCGGCUUCGGGGGAAGGAGGUCGGAAGUGAGAGCAGCUCGAGUUCCUGAGAUUAUCAGAAUGGAGACUUAUCGAGGACCGGCACCCAUCCGGAGGAGACACGAAUAGGCUCCGGCGUAGGCGUGGCAGAGACUAUAAGACACGGGAUCUGAGCCACUGAAAAUGAUCAAGACAGAGAAUUAAGAACAGAGGGUGCAAUGGUAUCCUGGUAUCUGUGGAAAGUGGAGUAAGGAGCUCGAGCUUACAGAGAGUGCACCACAGUGUGACAGAAGAGUAGACAGACGGCCUCAGGAAACGUAAGCCAUCCCCAGCAGUCAGCAGAGGAGAUGCCAGAAA